rnacentral:lncRNA from 1 species
CAGCUACCUCUGUUGUGAAAAAUGUUCUAACUCCCUCUGCCUCCUCUGUGCCUCAGUUAGCACUUGCUUUUCUGCGAAUAUGGGAGGAUCCCUUCUCUCUCUGGCUAGAUCGUCAGCUUCUGGAGAAACUACUGCCCACUUCAAAGCCAUUCUGAUUCAAUCUGGAGCUAGAUGGAACUCCUUGCUGAUGAAGCCAGCUAAUACGAAGACUGGAGUUCACUCUUCUGGGAGAUCAGCAGGAAACCAGACAGAUCAUGUUCUGCAGAUGCGUGGGGGCAGAAGCAUUUGUAAGCUGCCUGGAAUCAGGAGUGGUGGGAGGCCUUGACUAAUUUGAGGAGAGGGAUGGGUGAAUGGACAGCACAUCUGAUCAGUGAGGAGUAAAGCAGAGGGGCCUCCAGGAAGGGAAGGAGAGGAGAAGAGCUGCAAUCCACACAGGGGGACACUCCAGAAGAGUUUGGCACAAUUACCUGGUCUUUACAUGGUGAAGUUUCAACUCCGCCUUGGGGGGUGAGGCAGGUGAAGUGGUGCCCAGGACUGUAAGGGCAUGAGCGGGUUCUACCAUUCAUCUAAUGGUGACUUCAGAGGACCAAGUCAUUGGCUGUGAGGAGGAGCUCUCUACAGACAACUACCUAUGAGAGAAAACAGGGAAGUCAACCCAACUCCCGGUCACCCAGAGAGAUAACUAGAGCAUGGAAAUCACCUGGAAGGCUUGUUAGAGCACCGAUGUCUGCGCCCCACCCCUGGUUUCUGAUUCAGCAGGGCUAGAUAAGGCCAGAGAAUAUGUAUUUCCAACAAGUUUCCAAGAGAUGCCCAUGCUGGUAAGAGAACCAUCAGCUACGGAUGUCCCUCUGGGGUGGGGCGGAGAUGAGGGGUCUGCCAUUUAGGAUACACUUUGGAAAAAAAACCCCAAGUCCAAUGCUGCUACAGUGCCUCCUGUGACUGCCAGGAAGGAACCCGUUGCUUUCUCCCACACUCUCUCUCCUGCCAGUCAGGCCUCUGGCUUGUUACUCUAAGUCUUUAACUUCAUGGGUCUCCAAGCACCCUGUGCAUGAGGAGUCUUGCCAGCAAAAAUGCUUCCAUUCUUUCACUGGAAUCCUUCUGUUUUCUAAGACAGGAGGAAGCCCAGCAGCAAGGCUCCACAUCUCAAGGUCCUGAGAGCCACUGGACUUGGGGCUCUUAGUAGCUCCAGAGAGUCCCAGGUCAGGAACCAGCACGUCUUUCCAAGGGGUUUUAGCCUGAAUUAGGGACUGUGACUAAACCUCAGUCCCUUCUGAAGUUCAGAGGGAUUAUGCAAACGAGGCCCUGAGGCCAGCCCAGAGCAGCUCAGAGUUCCCCCAGGCAAGUUUGCAAAUGAGGCAGAAAUAGUGACCCCGGUUUACAGUAAUAAAGUCAAAGUUGGCUUCA